UAAAAAAAAAUCUUUAAAAAUUAAAUAAUACUUGGUAGUUCAGAUCCGUGACUUAGUCAUUGAUCUCUAUCCUUAACUUCUGUGUUUUUGGUGUUGAAACCAGGAUUUUGUUUCGUUCUCCGUAUACAUCUUGUAAUGAUCU